rnacentral:rRNA from 1 species
GCGCUCGCCAGCCAAAGGUGAGUGCGGCGCACAGCUCAGUAGCACGUGGCUAACCUGCCCUUGGGAUAGGGACAACCCCGGGAAACUGGGGCUAAUCCCCAAUAGGCGAAGGCUCCUGGAAUGGACCUUUACCCGAAAGGAUUCUAGCACUAUGCUUGCAGGAUUCGCCCAAGGAUGGGGCCGCGACCGAUCAGGUUGUUUGUGAGGCAACGGCUCACCAAGCCUAUAACCGGUGCGGGCCGUGGGAGCGGUAGCCCGGAGAUGGGCACUGAGACAAGGGCCCAGGCCCUACGGGGCGCAGCAGUCGCGCAAACUUUGCAAUACACGAAAGUGUGACAGGGCUAUCCCGAGUGCCGUCCGCUGAGGAUGGCUUUUACCCAGUCUAGAACGCUGGGGGAAUAAGGAGAGGGCAAGUCUGGUGUCAGCCGCCGCGGUAAUACCAGCUCUCCGAGUGGUGUGGAUGUUUAUUGGGCCUAAAGCAUCCGUAGCUGGCCAAGUUAGUCCCUUGUUAAACCCACCGAAUUAAUCGUUGGCGUGCGGGGGAUACUGCUCGGCUAGGGGACGGGAGAGGCAGACGGUAUUCUCGGGGUAGGGGUGAAAUCCUAUAAUCCCGGGAGGACCACCAGUGGCGAAGGCUGUCGGCUAGAACGCGCCCGACGGUGAGGGAUGAAAGCUGGGGGAGCGAACCGGAUUAGAUACCCGGGUAGUCCCAGCUGUAAACGAUGCAGGCUAGGUGUUUGGGCGGCCACGUGCCGCUCUAGUGCCGCAGGGAAGCUGUUAAGCCUGCCGCCUGGGGAGUACGGUCGCAAGGCUGAAACUUAAAGGAAUUGGCGGGGGAGCACCACAAGGGGUGAAGCUUGCGGUUUAAUUGGAGUCAACGCCGGGAUCUUUCUAGA